GAGCUUCAUCCAGAGCUCAUCCAGAGCUUCAUCCAGAGCUUCACCCAGAGCUUCAUCCAGAGCUUCAUCCAGAGCUUCACCGCUGACUUUCUUUCACAGCCUUUCAGCUGCAGGAAAUAGACGAAAGCAUGGAGUCUCUCUUGGCUGUUGUGACCAGUGGGCUCCUGGCUGUGGAUGAACAUUCAUUCCUGCAAACCACGGAGUGGUGUCUGGUACAUGCUGCGGAGAUGAGGAAUAGGAGUUUUGGAUUGUAUUUGGGGAAAACAGGGAAUUAACCCGAGAUACUGUAGUAACAACAGUAAGUGUAAGAUUAAGUUCCCAAACCCUGAACUCAUUCUUCCACCUUCUCUCAUCGUCAGUCCAACUCAAAGGACCUCAACUGAUGAAUCACCACAGUCAUAUCAAGCACAAAAUGGGUUAAUAUGUACUUUUCUUCAAGACCAUGUUGCGUGAUUCAUUUAAACAAUCUCAUCUGAAAGGGAAACUCCUACAAAUGCCUAUGCAAUAAAAUCAGAGGCCAAAA